CGUGAAGCCGCGAAGCGGUUUUCCUACUAGAAGCCUCGCUGGGCGGCUGGCGCUCUCACCGUUUCUUGUGACUGACAGGCGCUUUCGUUUAUAUUAAGAGUAUAAGACGAGAAUCGGAAGAAGGGCGUGAACAACAGCUUGGUUGGUACGUGUGACCGAUAGCGACACUGAAGCUGGAUAAAGUAGGCUCGCUGAAUGGAUGGAUUAACGGUCGGCUCAUCCCGACGGAGAACUGAUCCCCAAUACACGCUGAUGAAAUACCAGAUGGGUCGCAUGUGCCUGAGAUGGUCAUAAAAGGAACUUGUGGGAACCUCCGCCACACCAUUUUGCUUCUGCUUGCGGUUGUAUCAGGAGGUGACAGUCAUUUAAAAACAAAUCCAGAUCAGAAUGAGGAACGCCUCAAGUAGAACACACGACGAAUGAGGAUGAGCGGCUUCCCCCACCACUGAGAGAAAAGCCACAUAGGAAGCCUUAUGUGUGCUCUUUCCACUUGAUGGAAGAGAAGCCAGCCAUGUGACGUCAGAUGCCCCUAUCUGAAAGGAGGGUAAGAGCAGGUACCCUGUUUUUAAUAGAGUUAGCCUGCCUCCUGCUGUCCAUCAAACACUUCGCCGUAUGGUAGUUAGGCUGCUACUAGACCUUCUCUUGUGCUGCUAUGUCCUUUUUGUAGCCUGGAGACCAAAACUGCACACAGUACUCAAGAUGAGG